UACGAAGGGGGCUAGCGUUGCUCGGAAUCACUGGGCGUAAAGCGCACGUAGGCGGAUUGCUAAGUCAGGGGUGAAAUCAUGGAGCUCAACUCCAGAACUGCCUUUGAUACUGGCGACCUUGAGUCCGGGAGAGGUGAGUGGAACUGCGAGUGUAGAGGUGAAAUUCGUAGAUAUUCGCAAGAACACCAGUGGCGAAGGCGGCUCACUGGCCCGGUACUGACGCUGAGGUGCGAAAGCGUGGGGAGCAAACAGG
rnacentral:rRNA from 1 species